rnacentral:siRNA from 1 species
AUUUGCGUGUCAAUUUCAAACACU